rnacentral:rRNA from 1 species
GAUGAACGCUGGCGGCGUGCCUAAUACAUGCAAGUCGAGCGAACAGACGAGGAGCUUGCUCCUCUGACGUUAGCGGCGGACGGGUGAGUAACACGUGGAUAACCUACCUAUAAGACUGGGAUAACUUCGGGAAACCGGAGCUAAUACCGGAUAAUAUAACGAACCGCAUGGUUCAAUAGUGAAAGACGGUUUUGCCGUCACUUAUAGAUGGAUCCGCUCCGCAUUAGCUAGUUGGUAAGGUAACGGCUUACCAAGGCAACGAUGCGUAGCCGACCUGAGAGGGUGAUCAGCCACACUGGAACUGAGACACGGUCCAGACUCCUACGGGAGGCAGCAGUAGGGAAUCUUCCGCAAUGGGCGAAAGCCUGACGCAGCCACGCCGCGUGAGUGAUGAAGGUCUUCGGAUCGUAAAACUCUUUUAUUGGGGAAGAACAAAAGUGUACGUAACUAUGCACGUCUUGACGGUACCUAAUCAGUAAGCCACGGCUAACUACGUG